CUCGAAAAUUUAAAUUUCAAACACUAUGAAACUUUGGUAAUACAUUCCUGUUUAAAUUACAAACCAUUUUGUAUUAGAAAGAAAACCUCCCUCUCGCUAACGAAGUUUCCAAUUAUCAUAUAUAAUUUAUACAAUUCGAUCCCUCAAUGAUCUCUCAUAGCUAUAUAAUUCACGAUAGCUAUAUGCAAAUUUUCAUUGAUACCGAAGUGCGCGAUAGCGAGCGUGGCGCAGUCUGCGUAAGGGAGGAAGUAUUUUUUACGUCACGGUAGUGAGAGCACGUGAGAGAGAGAGAAACAGACGGAGGGAGUGACAAAGAUGGACACCGGUUAUUGAUUCCACUCUGAUCAACGCGUACCGCGUACCGCGUACCGCGUAUCCAGCGCGGACAGCACACAUGUUUUUGACGUUUGUGCACAUGAUUCGAGAAAGCGGAGCGAUCUUGCGCGCCGAGUUCCAUGCGAUGGCUUGAGACCCGGACGGUGCUGGACCGCGAAGAACGUUUCUCGGUGCGUGCGAAGUCAUUCGCCGGCGAAGCCGUUCCUAUCUUUCCGCGCGUGCGGAUGACAUCGACAUGUCGACGCGUAAGAGCGUCGUAGGUUAAGGUGUCUUUCCGUGAGUAAGGUCUAUAUCCCCCGCCGUUGAAUGAGACGCCGCGUCCGUGACCGUGCGAAAAUGGACAACCCAGUGAUCGCCGAGUACCUAACUCUGGAUUUCGGCCCGUUCGAGACGGUGCACCGAUGGCAGUGCAUGCCGGCAUGCGACGAGUUCGUCGGCGCCAGACGCAGUAAACACACUAUUGUGGCAUAUAAAGAUGCCAUUUACGUUUUCGGUGGCGAUAAUGGUAUGCGGAUGCUGAACGAUCUACUGCGCUUUGAUGUGAAGGAGAAAUCCUGGGGCAGAGCGUUUGCCACUGGCAUUCCACCUGCGCCACGGUAUCACCACUCUGCAGUGGUCCACGGGUCGUCGAUGUUCGUGUUUGGUGGUUACACUGGCGAUAUACACUCUAAUUCCAAUCUCAGUAACAAGAAUGAUCUAUUUGAGUACCGCUUUCAAACUGCCCAGUGGAUAGAGUGGAGAUUUAAUGGAGUGACUCCAGUGCCUAGAUCUGCCCAUGGUGCUGCUGUAUAUGAUAAUAAAUUAUGGAUAUUUGCGGGUUACGAUGGUAAUGCCAGAUUGAACGAUAUGUGGACGAUAUCGUUACUGCCUGGUGGUUUCAAAGAGUGGGAAGAGGUCGUUCAGGUCGGCGAACGUCCACCGACGUGUUGCAACUUCCCAGUUACGGUGGCUCGAGAAUCGAUGUUCGUUUUCAGUGGUCAGAGUGGGGCUAGGACAACUAACAGUCUUUUUCAGUUUCACUUUAAUGAGAGGCGAUGGACACGCAUAUCGACGGAACAUAUAUUGCGUGGCGCCCCGCCGCCACCCGCUCGACGAUACGGUCACACGAUGGUCAGUUUUGAUCGUCAUCUUUACGUCUUCGGAGGCGCAGCCGACGCAGCUCUGUCCAAUGAUGUCCACUGUUACGAUCUCGACACGCAAACGUGGAACGUUAUCUUACCAUCCACAGACAGCCAGGUACCACCCGGUCGACUUUUCCACGCUGCCGCUGUAAUCGGUGAUGCGAUGUUUAUUUUUGGGGGCACCGUAGACAACAACAUACGCUCUGCUGAUAUGUACCGCUUCCAAUUCUCAUCAUAUCCCAAGUGCACGUUGCACGAUGAUUUCGGCAGAUUACUGAGCAUGAGUCUCUUUUGUGACGUGGAAUUCAUAGUGGGUGGUCUGGAAACCAAGAUACCGGCGCACAUAGCCAUGGUGGCGGCGCGCUCGCAAUUUCUUCGGGCGCUCAUUCGGCAAGCUCGUGAGAAACGGGACAAAUAUUUGGAACAACAAUACGUUAAUGCGCCCAAUAACGAAUUGUCGCCUUUGGAACAGCAAUAUGUUAAUGCGCCUAGUAACGAAUUGUCGCCGCUGGAGGUGAGAUUAAAAGAUGCUGUACCGGAAGCCUUUAAAAUGGUGCUAAACUACAUUUACACCGAUCGUAUCGAUCCUACUAAGAGACCUGAUGACAAGGCUGAGGAUCCACAGAGCAAUCGCAUUGUACUUCUUAUGAUGGAUGUGUACCGCCUCGCUGUGCAAUUCAAUAUGGAGCGCUUGGAACAGCUGUGUGUCAACUACCUUGAGGCGACCAUAAGUCACGCAAAUGUUCUGGAGGCGUUGCGUAACGCCGUGCACCUGAAGCUAUAUUUUAUAAAGGAGUUUUGCCUCAGUUUCGUCGUGAAGGAGAACAAUUACAAUCUGAUUGUGAUGAGCCAAGAGUUCGAGACUCUAGAUCAGCCACUGAUGGUGGAGAUAAUCAGGCGCCGGCAGAUGCCACAGGCCAGAACUCCUUUCACUAAAUAUGAAUACGAAUCUGUUACCGGAACCAGCCUGGAGCAAGACAUGGAAGCGUUUUUGAAAAGCGUCGGUCGGGAAUUUUGUGACAUCACGUUGAGACUGAACGGUAUGCUGAUACCGGCGCAUAAGGCGAUCCUCGCGGCGCGAUGCAGUUACUUCGAGGCAAUGUUUCGAUCUUAUAUGCCUGAAAAUAAUAUGGUGAAUAUACAAAUUGGCGAGAUAAUACCGUCGUCGGAAUCAUUCCAUUCUUUGCUGAGGUAUAUUUAUUUCGCGGAUAUCUCGAUGCCUCCCGAGGACUCCCUGUACCUGUUCACCGCGCCGGGGUUCUACGGUUUCAGAAACAACCGGCUCCAAGCAUUUUGCAAACAGAAUCUCGAGAUGAACGUUACUUUCGAGAAUGUUAUACAGAUUUUAGAAGCAGCCGAUAGGAUGCAGGCUACCGACAUGAAGAAGUAUGCCCUGAAAUUGAUAGUUCAUCACUUUAGCAAGGUUGCUAGGCUUCCAACAUUAAGACAAUUAAGCCGUGAGCUUUUGUUGGAUAUUCUCGACGCUCUGGCUGACGAGCGUAGCGAGGCAAGAACGUGUCAAGAUAUGACUAAUGAUUGCUGACGGAUUUCUACCUCAGAUCGUCGUCCGUGCAGUUGGGAUUUACCAACGCCAUGCAGUUUCCAAGAACUGUGUCGGGUGAAUCUUAUCCUUAUAGGACGAACGAUUCUGUUUGUCGGUAAUUGUUAUCACGAUCAUGCGGCUAGAGCUUGUUUGACAUCAGACAUACAAACAUUGCUGCCGUUGUCAACGGCCACGUCGUCCGCUUCGAUUCAGGACGUGUCGUCAUCAUGCAGCACCCAUCAUCACCCAGUCGCGUCGUCUCGUUGUGGCGACGACAGGAGGCAACACCAAUGGUCUACUAUCACUCGUCGUUGUUCCGUCAGUUGCAACAUGUUGAGACGCACUGUCGUUGCUCUUUCGGAUCUCGGACUUAGAAAAUUGUUCCCGUAAUUGAGAUUAUAUUGACGCUAAAUGAAACAGCGACUUUCAUCGAACUGUGUCAUAGAAGUGUUUGUUGCAUAACGUAAAAUUGCGUGAAAGUUGAUGUAUAAUAUUAGUCUAUAGUGAUUGUGUCCGUUCCGUGUAACAGAACAUUAGACAUGAUAUGGAUGCGCGUCAAGGUAUCAUUUUCCCCACAAGUACCCUGGUGAAGAUUCUCUUAAUAGUUUUAAGAUUUUUUCAUAUAUUAAAUUUUUGAAGAUUUCUGAAAAAGUAUGUUAAAUCUUUUUAGAUUUUAUAAGUUUUCUUUGGAAAUUACAGAAUAUUUUAAAAUUUAUAUAUGUAAAGAAUUUUAGGAAAAAUUUUCACCAGAGUAGAUACAUCAGUGUCACUUCCCCGGUAAUGACGUACGUUAUUACGUGUGUCCUAGUUAGCGAUUGUUAUACUGAUUAUAUUAUUUAUUUAUACAGAAUGUUGAAAUUUUUUAGGUAUAAUGACAGAAAAUGAAAUUUCGACAGAAAAGUACGUGUAAGCUAAGUAACUAGAAUAUUUACGAUUUUUUAUUCCAAUCUAUUUUUUAAGUAUAAGGUUUGGCCUAAAGUUUGGCCAGUCAUGUGAUUGCAGAAUCUUCAUUCUCUGUGCUUUUUGUUGUGUCUGCUUUUAUACUGGAGUUUUGUGAUAUAUUAUAGCAUUUGGUUAUGAGAUAAGGUACCAUUGAAGACUAUUAAGAAACCUAUUGAAUUUUUAUGAAGUAUUAAUCCAUCUCGAUCGGCCUGUCUCCAAUCCGGAAGGAAUUUGGAAAAUGGUGACAUUAACUAUUUGAUCGUUCGAUAUAAACAUCUUUACGCUCAGUCCAUGAGGCACUAUUAUAAUUUUACAAUUUACAGUUUUAAUAUUUUAAAUAUUAAUAUUUUAUGAUACAGUGAAUUUUUUAAGCAAGAUAAACUUUCAUAAUAGACCAGUUUUCAAUGGUGUCUUAUUGUGAUAUCCGUAAUAAGCCUAUAUGUUUCCAUGUUUUUAUUAUACAUGUUGAAGAAUCCGUAAAAUAUAUAUGAAAUGUCUAUUUAUGCUAAAAGAAACGUUGUUACAAUAUAUUUACGUGCAUUGGCGAUCAUAUUAUUCCGUCGUACCUCUUAAUCGUUAAUCUUUUUGUAAUUAUAUAUAUGAGACAGGAAUAUUUUUAUGAGCUUAAAUAAUGAAUAUAAAUAAUAGUAAUGCAAAAUAAUUUGUAUUAUUACUUUUUAUACAGUAUUAAUACAAAUUAUUUUAGGCAGGUAGACGAUUGAAAUAAUUGGUAAAGAUGGAUAUUACGCACAUGUGUUGUUGAAGAUAAACAUAUUUUCAAGACGUUUCAGAGUUAUUGACAUAAAAAAUAUCUAUAAUAUGAGGGCAUAAAAAAUUAAUUAAAUCUAGACUAUAUCAGUGUGAGUCAAAUUAAAUUGCAAAGGGAGCCUAUAUUUUCAUCGAAUGUAAUAUAAUAUAUUAAAUUAUCUGCAAAAAAGGGAAA